UCUAACGAUAUUUAUGCUUCUUUGGUUUACAGGCACUGGGAUGUCUACUCUAUAAACUUUGUUUCUUCACUCUUCCUUUUGGUGAGAGUCAGGUUGCUAUCUGUGAUGGCAACUUCACCAUCCCAGACAAUUCUCGUUACUCCCGUAACAUACAUUGCUUAAUAAGGUUCAUGCUUGAACCAGAUCCGGAACAUAGACCUGAUAUAUUUCAAGUGUCAUAUUUUGCAUUUAAAUUUGCCAAAAAGGAUUGUCCAGUCUCCAACAUCAAUAAUUCUUCUAUUCCUUCAGCUCUUCCUGAACCGAUGACUGCUAGUGAAGCAGCUGCUAGGAAAAGCCAAAUAAAAGCCAGAAUAACAGAUACCAUUGGACCAACAGAAACCUCAAUUGUACCAAGACAAAGACCAAAGGCCAACUCUACUACUACUGCCACUCCCAGUGUGCUGACCAUUCAAAGUUCAGCAACACCUGUUAAAGUCGUUGCUCCUGGUGAAUUCGGUAACCAUAGACCAAAAGGUAAUAGAGCCCCGCCAACCUCAUCCUCUUAAAGGUUAAUGUUAAUAAACCUU
rnacentral:sRNA from 1 species